rnacentral:misc_RNA from 1 species
UUUUUUUUUUUUUUUUGUUCUUUUGGUUACGCCAAACCCACUUUUUUUAAUAAAAUAAAGAAGACCAUUAGGGCUAAAUUAUCAAAUUAUUUCAUGAAAUCUAAUCUGAGCUGCAUCCACCAAGUUGAGAUAGUUUUGGGCAUGCAUAUUUGAAUCUGAAAGCAAUGGAAUGGUUACCUUGGAUGAAGGCUAUUUUUGACU